ACCCUGAUGACCCUCUAACACGGACCACCAGCGCUGGGUGGGACGUCAGGUGUCAGCUCUUGGCAGUGCCACCAGCUUCAGUCCCUCUGUGGGCCUGCCCGGGGCUGCCCGUGGCACUGAAGCAGCUGCUUCUCGACUGCACGAUUUGCUCUGGAAAUGAAAAGUGAAGCAGACAGCAGGUCUCCAUGUUUCCCCAGCAGUGGCACAGCGGCAACGGUGGAUGUUCUCUGCACAAAUCAGCUGGUACUGGAUGGUUUCUUCCUGGAAAAAUAAAUGGAACAUAAACUGAUGGAGUGUGGUAUCACUGAUUUAAGGAGAAGCUGGAGCAGAUGAUGAUGAAGCGAGGUCCUGAGCACCCCUUUCCCAGUGGAGGUACCAGGACAGGAGACUCACAAUCAUCUCCCAUCAUCACUUCCACCCCUGAGGG
rnacentral:lncRNA from 1 species